AUUGAACGCUGGCGGCAUGCCUUACACAUGCAAGUCGAACGGCAGCAUAGGAGCUUGCUCCUGAUGGCGAGUGGCGAACGGGUGAGUAAUAUAUCGGAACGUGCCCUAGAGUGGGGGAUAGCUCGGCGAAAGCCGGAUUAAUACCGCAUACGAUCUACGGAUGAAAGUGGGGGAUCGCAAGACCUCAUGCUCCUGGAGCG
rnacentral:rRNA from 1 species